UACAGAGGGUGCAAACGUUGUUCGGAAUUACUGGGCGUAAAGCGUGUGUAGGCGGCCUCCGUAGGUCGGAUGUGAAAGCUCUCGGCUCAACCGGGAAAGUGCAUUCGAACCACAAGGCUUGAGUGUCGGAGAGGAAGGCGGAAUUGUCGGUGUAGAGGUGAAAUUCGUAGAUAUCGACAGGAACACCUGCGGCGAAAGCGGCCUUCUGGAUCGAAC
rnacentral:rRNA from 1 species